UACGGAGGGAGCUAGCGUUGUUCGGAUAUACUGGGCGUAAAGCGCACGUAGGCGGCGCAGCAAGUCAGGGGUGAAAUCCCGGAGCUCAACUCCGGAACUGCCUUUGAAACUGCAGUGCUAGAAUCCUGGAGAGGCGAGUGGAAUUCCGAGUGUAGAGGUGAAAUUCGUAGAUAUUCGGAAGAACACCAGUGGCGAAGGCGACUCGCUGGACAGGUAUUGACGCUGAGGUGCGGAAGCGUGGGGAGCAAACAGG
rnacentral:rRNA from 1 species